rnacentral:rRNA from 1 species
AGGAAGUGAAAUUAAACUUAUUUAUUAUGACGGCAUUUCAUCUAAUUAGAGGAACUUGUUUUUUAAUCGAUAUACCUCGAUAAUUUUCACUUUUUAUAAUAAUUUAUAUACCGCCAUUAUAAGAAUUAAUUAAUAAUAAUUAUUCUAAAUAAUAUUUAAAAUAUUAGGUCAAGGUGUAAUCAAUAAUAAAGCAAUAAUGAGUUACAUUAAAUAUAAUUUAAGGAUUAAUUAAUUAAAAUUUUUUAUUAAAAAGGAUUUAAAAGUAAUUAAAUAUUAAUAAUAUUUAAUGAAUUAGUAAAUAAAUGUGU